rnacentral:rRNA from 1 species
AGUGAACGCUGGCGGUAGGCCUAACACAUGCAAGUCGAACGGCAGCACAGUAAGAGCUUGCUCUUACGGGUGGCGAGUGGCGGACGGGUGAGGAGUACAUCGGAAUCUACUUUUUCGUGGGGGAUAACGUAGGGAAACUUACGCUAAUACCGCAUACGACCUACGGGUGAAAGCAGGGGAUCUUCGGACCUUGCGCGAUUGAAUGAGCCGACGUCGGAUUAGCUAGUUGGCGGGGUAAAGGCCCACCAAGGCGACGAUCCGUAGCUGGUCUGAGAGGAUGAUCAGCCACACUGGAACUGAGACACGGUCCAGACUCCUACGGGAGGCAGCAGUGGGGAAUAUUGGACAAUGGGCGCAAGCCUGAUCCAGCCAUACCGCGUGGGUGAAGAAGGCCUUCGGGUUGUAAAGCCCUUUUGUUGGGAAAGAAAAGCAGCAGGUUAAUACCCCGCUGUUCUGACGGUACCCAAAGAAUAAGCACCGGCUAACUUCGUG